rnacentral:rRNA from 1 species
AGUGAACGCUGGCGGUAGGCCUAACACAUGCAAGUCGAACGGCAGCACAGUAAGAGCUUGCUCUUACGGGUGGCGAGUGGCGGACGGGUGAGGAAUACAUCGGAAUCUACUUUUUCGUGGGGGAUAACGUAGGGAAACUUACGCUAAUACCGCAUACGACCUACGGGUGAAAGCAGGGGAUCUUCGGACCUUGCGCGAUUGAAUGAGCCGAUGUCGGAUUAGCUAGUUGGCGGGGUAAAGGCCCACCAAGGCGACGAUCCGUAGCUGGUCUGAGAGGAUGAUCAGCCACACUGGAACUGAGACACGGUCCAGACUCCUACGGGAGGCAGCAGUGGGGAAUAUUGGACGAUGGGCGCAAGCCUGAUCCAGCCAUACCGCGUGGGUGAAGAAGGCCUUCUGGUUGUAAAGCCCUUUUGUUGGGAAAGAAAAGCAGCAGGUUAAUACCCCGCUGUUCUGACGGUACCCAAAGAAUAAGCACCGGCUAACUUCGUG